AGAAACCCUGUCUUGGAAAAAAAAAAAGUGUGUGCGCGUGUGUCUGUGUGUGUGUAUUGUCAGGUUGGUAUAUAGGAUAUGGUCCAUGAAGUCCAAUGAUGGCUGUCCCACCCUGGAGAGUCCAAGAAUCUGGUGGUUGCUCAGUCCAUGAGUCUGGAUGUCUCUGCAGUACCAAUCUGGUGCUGGGGGUCUGGAGGAUUCCUGGAGAGCUGCUAAUCUCCGGUGUGUCUUGGAAGCCCAAAAGUCUGUGGAUACAGGGACAGGAUGUGUGACAAUCUUCCACAGAAAUCAGGCAGGUCAUACACUGGAAAGCCAAUGCUUAAUAAACCAGGAAUGAGUGAAGAGAAGACACAUCGCCAUGCUUGGUCCCGGGUCCUGCUGAGAAUAUGAGUGGUGUUACCUUAAGCUGAUUCUUCCCAGGGCCAGCCCUACCUCAAAGAGUGUGGUUUGCUAUUUUUCACCUAAGCAAGAAAAGGACUAAGAGCCCACAAUCCCCUACCUCAACCAGCAUCUAUGAAGCAAGAAGAUCUCUGACUGGGAACUGUGUGGUCAUCUUUGAGAAACCACAACUGAAGCUGAGAGUAUGAGGGAUGGGGGAGGGGCACCUGCAAUUGCAGGGCUGGAGGCACAGGGAGCCCGAAGCAGCUCAGCUAUGCGGGUCCAAAGGCCUCAGUUCCCUGGGGCCUGACUCAGGCAGCCCCAGAACAGGUUUAUGUGGGUGUUUUUUUCUCUCUCCCCAUGUGUGUGUGUGUGUGUGUUUUCAUGUGUGUGUGGAGGCCAAAGGUUAAACUUGGGUGUCCUCUCCAGCCCUCCUGUAACUUGUUGUUUGAAACAGGGUUUGCUACUUUGGACUUGAACUGGUCUUUUUGGCUAGGCUAGACAGCCCAUGUGCUCCUCCAAGGAACAGCCUGUCUCUGUCCCGCUAAUGCUGGGGUCACCACCUCACACUCAGGUUCUAACGAUUGUUACAUUGAACCAUCACCCCAUCCCUGGACGCAAGAUCUUGAUGGAGAAACAUCAUACUUCAGAAAUUGAAUGGAGGAGGCUGAAAUAUGUAGAGAAAUCUUCGAAGAGGAUUUCUGACCGUGGGGAAGAGAUGACCAAAGAGGACCCUGAAACCAGGCAGGGAGUGCCCACCACGAUACACCUACUUCAUGAAACCAGUGGCUUGUGGGUAGUUUUCAAGGACGUUGGAGGAAAUGGCAUGGUGACUGAAUCAGAUAUCCAAGAAACGUAGAGAACAGGAGGAUGUCAGCCUGGAAUCAAGGCUGUACAGCCAGGGUUAGGGGAGGCCAGCAGAGGGAGGCUGAGCUGUCGGGACUUCCACAGCUCUCUGAAACAGAAGUCACCUGCUUUCUGAUUGCUUUCUGAUUUUGCAUCUCCUCCAUCUGGUCUCUCUGGAGAAGUGACUCUUUCUUUGCAAAUGCCUGAAUUGCUUUGUGUGUUCACUAUGCUACCCAGCAGUUAUCCUUCCCUGUAGCAAGCUACCCAAGGUUGUCUCUCUCCCAUCCCCCCGCACCCCUCCGCC